GGAUGUAGCUCAGUUGGUAGAGUGUUUGUUUAACAUGAACAAAACCCUGGGUUUGAUUCUCAGGACCA
rnacentral:tRNA from 1 species